rnacentral:SRP_RNA from 1 species
GCCUGACGCGGUGGCACGCGCCUGUAGUCCCAGCUACUCGGGAGGCUGAGAUGGGAGGAUCGCUUGAGCCCAGGAGUUCUGGGCUGUAGUGCGCUAUGCGGAUCGGGUGUCCGCACUAAGUUGGGCAUCAAUAUGGUGACUCCCGGGAGCGAGGGACCAUCUGGUUGCCUAAGGAGGGGUGAACCGGCCCAGGUCGGAAACGGAGCAGGUCAAAACUCCCGUGCUGAUCAGUAGUGGGAUUGCGCCUGUGAAUAGCCACUGCACUCCAGCCUGGGCAACAUAGCGAGACCCCGUCUCU